GACGAACGCUGGCGGCGUGCUUAACACAUGCAAGUCGAACGGAAAGGCCCCUUUGGGGGUGCUCGAGUGGCUAACGGGUGAGUAACACGUGCGUAACCUGCCCUUGCUUUCGGGAUAACUUCAGGAAACUGGGGCUAAUACCGGAUAGGAAUCCUUGCUGCAUGGUGGGGGUUGGAAAGCUUCGGCGGCUUUGGAUGGACUCGCGGCUUAUCAGCUUGUUGGUUGGGUAGUGGCUUACCAAGGCUUUGACGGGUAGCCGGCCUGAGAGGGCGACCGGCCACAUUGGGACUGAGAUACGGCCCAGACUCCUACGGGAGGCAGCAGUGGGGAAUAUUGCACAAUGGGCGGAAGCCUGAUGCAGCAACGCCGCGUGCGGGAUGACGGCCUUCGGGUUGUAAACCGCUUUCAGCAGGGGCGAAGCUUGUGGUGACGGUACCUGCAGAAGAAGCACCGGCUAACUACGUG
rnacentral:rRNA from 1 species